rnacentral:lncRNA from 1 species
GCCACCAAUUGGAAAGAAGAAGUUUGAGACUCUCUCUUACCUUCCUGACCUUACCGAAGUUGAAUUGGCUAAGGAAGUUGACUACCUUCUCCGCAACAAGUGGAUUCCCUGUGUUGAAUUCGAGUUGGAGGUAAUAAAAAUCGAAAAUCAUAUACAUAAAUAUUUAGAGUAGCUUGACCAUAUGAAUCUUGCAACGAUCUUAAAACUGUUUAGAGGUCCUAUGCAGAAUCUUGAUUUAUAUGUACAUAUUUGAAAUGUUCUUGAAUGGUUUUUGUAAUGUGUUUUGUAGAACGGGUUUGUGCACCGUGAGCACGGAAGCACUCCCGGAUACUACGAUGGACGUUACUGGACAAUGUGGAAGCUUCCUUUGUUCGGAUGCACUGACUCAGCUCAAGUGUUGAAGGAAGUGCAAGAGUGCAAGAAGGAGUACCCCCAGGCCUUCAUUAGGAUCAUCGGAUUCGACAACACCCGUCAAGUCCAGUGCAUCAGUUUCAUCGCCUACAAGCCACCAAGCUUCACCGAUGCUUAAGUCACUUUCUCUUAAAUCAUUCAUAUAAUAUUCUCAUUUGCAUUUCCAAUUGU